AGCUCCAAUAGCGUACAUUGAUGUUGCUGCGGUUAAAAAGCUCGUAGUUGGAUCUCGGCGCCCGGUCCGCUGUGCGUUGUUCGACGCGACGGCGGUUCCGGGCGUGUGGUGCGGCGGUCCGCGCGCGGGUGCUCUUCGCCGGGCGUCCGUGCGCGCCGCCGGGUUCACCUUGAACAAAUUAGAGUGCUCCGAGCAGGCGCUUCCGCCUGGAUAUCAGCGCAUGGAAUGAUGGAACAGGACGUCGUUUCCGUUCCGUGGGUCUUCGGAAGGCGACGUAAUGAUUGACAGGGACGGUCGGGGGCAUAAGUACUCCGGCGACAGAGGUGAAAUUCUUGGACCGCCGGAAGACUGCCGACUGCGAAAGCAUUUGCCAAGCAUGUUUUCG
rnacentral:rRNA from 1 species